UACAGAGGGGGCAAGCGUUGUUCGGAAUUACUGGGCGUAAAGGGCGCGUAGGCGGCCUUCUAAGUCGAACGUGAAAUCCCUGGGCUCAACCCAGGAACUGCGUCCGAUACUGGAAGGCUUGAAUCCGGGAGAGGGAUGCGGAAUUCCAGGUGUAGCGGUGAAAUGCGUAGAGAUCAGGAAGAACACCGGUGGCGAAAGCGCUCUGCUGGACCUUAACUGACACUGAGGGACGAAAGCUAGGGGAGCGAAUGGG
rnacentral:rRNA from 1 species